rnacentral:rRNA from 2 species
AAACCAACAGGGAUUGCCUCAGUAGCGGCGAGUGAAGCGGCAAAAGCUCAAAUUUGAAAUCUGGCACUUUCAGUGUCCGAGUUGUAAUUUGUAGAAGUAACUUUGGGUUUAGUCUCCGCAUAAGUUCCUUAGAACAGGACGUCAUAGAGGGUGAUAACCCCGUUUAUGGUGGAGAUACUAGAUCUAUGUAAAGUGCUUUCAAAGAGUCGAGUUGUUUGGGAAUGCAGCUCUAAGAGGGUGGUAAAUUCCAUCUAAAGCUAAAUAUUGGCGAGAGACCGAUAGCGAACAAGUACUGUGAAGGAAAGAUGAAAAGAACUUUGAAAAGAGAGUGAAAAAGUACGUGAAAUUGUUGAAAGGGAAGGGCUUGAAAUCAGACAUGGUAUUUAAUGAUCAGUUGCUUUUCGGAGUAAUGCACUCGUUAUUUACUGGGCCAACAUCGGUUUGAACGGUAGGAUAAUGACAUUGGAAUGUAGCUUGCAUUUAUGUAAGUGUUAUAGACUUUGUUGAUACUGCCAGUUUGGAUCGAGGACAGCGUCUUUAUGACUAGGAUGUUGGCGUAAUGGUUUUAAGCCGC